GACGGAGGUGGCUAGCGUUGUUCGGAAUGACUGGGCGUAAAGGGCGCGUAGGCGGCUCGUGAAGUCGGGUGUGAAAGCCCGGGGCUCAACCCCGGAACGGCAUCCGAUACUGGCGGGCUUGAGACCGGGAGAGGAGGGUGGAAUACCCAGUGUAGAGGUGAAAUUCGUAGAUAUUGGGUGGAACACCGGUAGCGAAAGCG
rnacentral:rRNA from 1 species